rnacentral:rRNA from 1 species
GAUUCCCCUAGUAACGGCGAGUGAAGAGGGAGGAGCCCAGCACCGAAGCAUGCGGCAGUUUUGCUGUUAUGCAUUGUGGUGUUAGGGUCGGCUAGCGGAACUGCCACUCCACUUGAAGUCCAGCAUUGAGUAUGGUUCCUGGAUUUGGCCCAGAGAGGGUGAAAGGCCCGUGCAAGUGGAGGUAUCAGACAUGUAAGGUGGUUCACCAGGCCGGCCUAAGAGUCGGGUUGUUUGUGAAUGCAGCCCAAAGAGGGUGGUAAACUCCAUCCAAGGCUAAAUACUAGCACGAGUCCGAUAGCGAACAAGUACCGUGAGGGAAAGUUGAAAAGUACUUUGAAGAGAGAGUAAACAGUACGUGAAGCCGCAUAGAGGUAAACGGGUGGCGUCAAGCUGCAAGCCCGGAAGAUUCAGUCGGUCAGGGUGUAGAGUACGCGCCUGGCGCGUCAAUGAGUCGGUGUGGGAUUGUGACAGUCCGCCAGUAGUGGUGGGCCUGGUCGGUGGCCUCGGUCGUUGGCUAGGAUUCGAGUUCCGGGAGGCUGCCGGAACGAGCUGUCCGUCCGUUGGACUGUCUGGCCGAUGCACUUCUUCCGUGGUGGACACCACGACCGGUGGUACAGCCUGUCUGCCGUGGUCAAGUUGCCGUGGCGCGCGCUCUCUGAGCGUGUGCAUUGCGGUGGCGAACACAAGCAAGUCUGGCGCACGGCGCCCGGGUGUCUCUGGCAUUCGGGCGUGCUAUCGGGCGUCGCUUGUUAGGGGAGCUGUUCGAGUUGCUGGUUGCAGCCUGGCUUGGAUGCUCCCGUGGGUUACGGUGGUAUGAAUAACUGUGCUGGGCACCGGAGUUCGCGGUCUCUAGUCCUGUUCGCAUGCACGCGCUGCACUUAGGUGAAUAUGCGGGGCGUCGUCGCGGUCUGACAGUUGCUGGGUCUGAUUGUCGUGUUGCCGGCGCAAAGUCGGUCCGAUGGUGGCCUGGUGUUGGACGGCGCCGAUGACGGCGUUCUUCUGUGCGAGUAGGCGAGGACCUGACAGUCUGUGGUGUAGUGGUAGAUUAGCCACCCGACCCGUCUUGAAACACGGACCAAGGAGUUUAUCACGUACGCAAGUCAAUGGGUCCUACGAAACCCAAAGGCGCAGUGAAAGUGAAGCCUCGGCUUGUUCCCGGGGUGUGGUGAGAUCCUGCUGUUUCUCGCACCUGCUUCGGCGCGGUUGGUCAGCAGCACCAGGCAGAAGAGCAGCGGGCGCAUCACCGGCCCGUCCCAUGAUGUGGUCGUGUGCUGCACGGCAUUCGUGCACUUACGCGUCAUCGGGGCGGAGCAUGAGCGUACGUGAUGAGACCCGAAAGAUGGUGAACUUAUGCA